GAGGGUAUAGCUCAGUGGCUGAGCACAUGCCUAACAUGCACAAGGUCCUGGGAUCAAGCCCCAGAGCCCCCA
rnacentral:tRNA from 1 species